rnacentral:lncRNA from 1 species
GCCGGCGCGCCACCUCGCUCGCAAUCAGCGGCACCAGGCCAUUUACAUACUUUCAACAAGUUCAAAGAAACACCAAAGCUCAUGGAACAACAUGCAGGUAACCAAAGCAAGUCAAACUUAGAGAACAUCUUUCCUACUACUAUUAAACAAGCAAACAUAUUCAUCACUAAAUGCACCAAACCUAAUCUAGUACACAUAAAGACCUUGACCAAUUACAACCUCAAGAUCAGGCUAUUAGAUCUAACCAUCAGAUUAAAACUAACCCUCAUAAAAAGUGUGUUUAGCAAUUUCAACUGGUGGACGAAAACACUGCCACCGAACAUAAAGUUCCGCCCCAGUGUCCACAUGUCCCAUCAAAAGAACUGAACGCAAAAGAAAUCUCACGCCGGCACUCCACACCGCCGUCGUUUGCUCAAGUUAUCUGCUUGCGCCGCGGCCGUGCUUGCUGCCUCCUCCACGCGUGGCCGUGCCUAGGACACUUAACCGAGGUUUGGUGAGCGGAGAGAUCCAAGGCAAAGGAGCCGCCGCCGUGCAGGAAGCUCUCCUCCAUCCGGCUCACUAGAGGCGUUGCCAAACCGCGCGGCUUCGGUGAUGGCCACCUCUGCAUCCCAACGGUGACGGCCUCUUCUAGGCGGCUACACCCCCCUGACAAAAUUGACAAAAAUAAUUCCUAGAACGAAAGAAGUCACGAAGUGCACCUGAAAGCAAAAAAAAAUAUCCGUCUGACCCUUUCGUGUGGCGUCCGACACCUAGACGUCACAGUACACUCUGUAACGGCUAAAUCAUCGGCGCCACACGGCCCGGCCACCUGACAGAGCGAGCUCACCCUCCAGGUAGUGCGACGCCUAAGCCUGAGACGUCGCACCCUAUAAAGUGUGGCGUCGAAGGCUUAGGCUCCGCUGACCAUGUGGGCUCCUUGAAUGCUGCCUAUGGCGCGUCCCGCCUUCCGGCUGAGGAGAAUGCGGAGAUGCCGAAGAGCACCUUCAUCCCUUCGAAUGGCUACCAGCGGCAGCAACGACAAGCGUCGCGCGCCUGACAAACCCAAGACAUUGGCUCGGUGAGAUCAAAUCCCAACUUCUCCCUUGCCACCCAACCUGCAGUGCUAUGAUAACCCGAUUCAUUUCGAUUACCGUCGUUCGACAAUUUGUUGGUGUCCAUCAGUGCGCGUUCAUGGGCUUCGCGUGAAACCGGGGGAGCAAAAGGGCGGCGGCUUGCAUGAGAGGACUACAGGUUCAAGGCGGAGCAUUAGGUAUACCACCAAAGCAUGUUAAAGAUCGAGCUCGAGGUGUACAACUAGAGCAUGUUCUAGAAGGAGCUGUACAACAAUUGGGUGGACACUGGGUCGUGCUAUCAAACCAUCAUAGUGUAUUGGACUGGUCCGUUUCAUAGGGAACACGUCUUCUCAUCUUCCGUGCUUUCAAUUUGAGAAUCGUAUCUCUCUUAGCUACAAAUUAGACUUCCGCUAAAAACUAUCCAAACUACAAAAGACUAAAUGUUGUUGCUCCUGCAGAUGCUCUUGACAAGUACCAUUAUACUCCCUCCGUACCUAAAUAUAAGUCUUUUAAGAUAUUUCGCUAGGUGUCUACGUACGGAGCAAAAUGAGUGAAUCUAUACUCUUAAGUAUGUCUAUAUACAUCGGUAUGUAGUUCACUAGUGAAACCUCUAGAAAGACUUAUAUUUAGGUACGGAGGGAGUACAAGCUAGUUCAAUUUCUAUCUGUCGAAGGGGAAGUUGGCAUCCGUAAUAGUUCUAUCUAGAAUGGUCUUUGGUCUCUCAAUUCAUGCCUGAGUGCAAGUCAAGUCAAGUCAAGUCAAUGCAGUACUGUGUAUAUUUUAAACCAAAUUUCAUGACGCUGACUCAUGAAUUAUCUUUGGAAGGAGUUUCAUACAGGGGCGGAUCCAGAAUUGGGCCAGGCCUGCUACAAUACACAGAAAGACAAUCAAGGUUAUGAUAUUAUAAUGCAAAAGGAAAAAAUGAAAACCAUCACAUGGUUACAAUGUUAUUUCUGAAGCUCACAUUGAACUUAUACUUGAAGUUGCCACAUAUUCAAAUAACCAUUUGUUUCUUUGGUUCUAGAGUCCCAUGUUGGGCGUGAUUUUCCUAAUGGAGCAAGAUGGGCAUAAGAUUUGUUUAGUUAAGUUGGCGUGUGCUGUGCACAUGCAUAAUUAGUAUAAUGGCUUAGAACCAGAUGCUACAAACUAAAUAUGGAUGCUGCUUUUCAUGAUAAUGGUACAGGUGCAGCUGGCAUUGUCCUGCGAAAUAGCAUUGGUGAAGCGGUUGCUGGUGCAGCUUGUCUACCUGGCUCUACUCUUGAUGCCACCUCGACAGUAGCUUUGGCAAUGUCGAAGGGGCUGGAGCUGCUCGAGAGGUUCGGGUCAUCGGGUGCAUAUUGAAUCUGACUCGCUGGAAUUGAUAAAUGCAUGCAAGGGCGAGGUUCAUAUGUUCAGUCCAUAUACUGCAACCUUGGUGGAAUGCUUUGCAAAAGCCCAGACGAUUGAUGGUAUCUCUUUUGAGUUUUGUCCCAGGGAAGCUAAUCAGGUGGCCCAUCAGCUGGCAAACACAUGCUUAUGUUAAUGAGGCAGAGUUUAGCUGGAAGGGUGAUCCAUCAUCCUUUUUAUUGCCUUAUGUUUUGCACAAAGCAAUAAAUCAUCGAGAGGCUUAAAAAAUUAUAAUGGCUUAUAGUUUUGAUAUAUGUUGUUCCAGCCGUGCAUGACACGUGCAUGCUUACUUGUCACACCCUGUAUUUUAACUCUUCUGGAUAAACUAACAUAUCUUAAAAAUUAGGACGAAUUAAAUUUUGUGUGAGUGCUUGUGAUGCUUGAUGUGAUUGUUAUUUGCUUGCUUGUUUUCUUGUGUUUAAAUCACAAAGUUCCUACUACUCUUUAGACUCAUAUUCAUGCCUAAAGUAUUUGCCCAAUGAUCAUACCAUGUGUAUAGGACCAAAAACUAUUUUUACCAAAGAGCUUUCAUUUAAUUUAAGCUUUCAAAAACCAUUGAGUCGGGAUUUGUUCUACAAGUCCUCAAACCAGGAAAGUUGUUUUGCACCCAAUAUUUUAUUUAAAUACCAUUAUCAAAAAGACUUCCCAAAACCACAAGAUUAUUACUUUAAAAGCUAUUUUACUAUUUUAUUUAAAUACAUUUUUCUGAGGCUAGAAAUGGUCUUUUAUGAAGAAAGGUUAUUUUUCCUGCAUUCAAAAUAUUUGAGUAAAUUAAGGGAAACUCAGUGGACAUAUAUUUUCCAUAUAUAAUAUUUUAAGCACAUGGUCAUGUUCAAAAUAUUGGACAAAACCCUUCAAAACCCUUUCUGCCUAUUUCAAGCUUUUGGAAUACUUCCAUCAGAAAUAUUCUCAAUAAAUCCCAGUAAAAUUCUAGCAUUUCACACAUGAUAUAUGUGAUUAUCUUGCCAAGUUUCAUCUCAAUCCAAGUUGAUUUAAUUCAGCUAAAUAUUUCAAACCCCUAUUUGUCCAUAUCCAAAUUUGAGCAACUCUACAUUGUCAAGUGUCUCCAAUUGUUCUCAAAUUUUUUGGGCAUGUUUUGAUGCUCCAAUAAUGCAUCCAUACCAAGUGGUGCAUCAAGGAGAAUAGAUGAACUUGUCCAAAACCCCUCAAAACCUUCUGUGUUUAUUUCUAGAAUUGAGAAACUUUACAUUGUGAAGUUUCUCCAAUUGAUCCCAAAGUUUUUGUGCAUGCUAUAAUACUCAAAUAAUGCCACCACACCAAGUGGUGCAUUAGUGAGAAUUAAUUUGCAUGGUUUUAUCUGCCGAAAUACAUUUCUGCCCAUUUGUACGGUGUUUCAAGUCUACAUUGGAAAAUUUCUCCAACAAAUCCCAAAUUUGGUAUUCUGUCUCAUUUUCACCUAUCAUGUGAUCCUGUUAAGUUUCAUAGCAAGUGAACUCCUUAUGCUAGCACUAUCACCCAUCAAACACCUUCUGCUCACUUAUCAAACUUGUUUAUUUGGCCCCUUCUACUAAUCUCCUUGAGCUCAAAUUUUUACCACCUUCUUCUAUCCCUCUAUCACCUUGAGUAACUUUUCCAUGGCCCUCGUCAAUUAUUGGAGGGUGACUCCAUCUCUCUACCUCUCCUUUUUACCAUGGCAGCACCUCUUUUACCCCUCAUUCAAUAUUUCUUUUCAAGCCAAAGCUCCCACAUAUUUUCAAAACACCUAUAGAGUGCUAAUGCACCAUUUUAUGCAAAGGUAUGGCGCUCAUAUGGAAAAUAUGAGCAGCCCUUCUAAAACUUGUUUUUGGCACAAAUGAAGCUUUGAACUACAAGUGCUAGCUAUUCUCACCUCCCUGACCUCAAACUUAUUACAAUUGUAGUUCUUCCAUGCCUAAGACUACUAGACAAGGUUUCAUUUCAAAUUCCUCCUAGUAAAAAUACUUUAUGCUAGCCCAAAGUUUGGUGUUGCAAACUUAAACAGAGAAGAAGCCCCACCUGCAGUGCCCCAUAUGAGACCAAACUUCUCCAUCACUCUUCUACACACAUGCCUUGCUUGCUAGACACCUUUGACUGACCAAAAUGCCACUCUGGACAUGAAUGCGCGUGGUGACCACAUCCCUGGCAUGCAGAAACGAUGAUGUGCACCUUGUCCUCAUCCUGCAACCCAUGUCUGGUAGCGGUAGCAUGUCCCACCGCGCCAUAGGAUUCCCCUUCACUGCCCAUGCCCCUCAGUGACGCCAGCAAAACUGCAAGGUGGCUCCGACGUGUGUGAUGGCCGCGCGAGAGUGUACCUGAGGCGCAUCCGAGCUCCCCCUCGUCGCCCCUCUGUUAUACCUCUCCCCAAGCCCCCUCUUAACCUCUUUGGCUCUCUCUCUCCCUCCAAUAGACCCCCAGGGCCUCCCAAUUUGAGCUCACAUGCCCUGCAAUCGCCCCAUGGCCGAAGCCUUCCUAUCGGCCCUUGCUCAAAUUCGGGCACGAUGAGCGUCCCCUUUCCCCUUUAGAUGCACCAUGGGGAUUCCCGAGCCGCCGCCCGCCUUCCCGCAUCCCCUCUUCCUCCGUAUGCAGCUGCUGCGCUCUGCCAACCAUGGUCGCCGGCCGCGUCCGCCCUGGUGAGUGACCGACUGCGAGCAACUCCUCUCCGGCGUGCGCGACGCACCCCUUCAGGUCGUCGCCCCCCCCCUGAGGUCGCCGAGAGGCUGAGCCUCUUCGCAGGUAGCACGGGCCGCCGACGCAAGCGCCACAGGCUCUCUCCUUUGUUCCUUCCUGCUCGGGCGGGAGAAGGAAGAGAGAUCUGACAGGUGGGGCCCCAUGUAAGCGGGUUGUUCCUCCCACCGGUCGGGCCCCCAACUCAAGUGGAGGCACCCUCAAGUGUUUUGCGCCUCCCCUCGCCGAAAAUGCCUUUCAAAUGGUGCGCCAUCGGCGUAGCAUCUACGCAGGCGCAACUGCGCAACUGGGCCGGCGAAGGAGGUUAUCUUGCGCCAUGUGCGCACUAUAGCUUCCCCUCGUAUAACUCUUUUUCCCUUUUCUUUUUUACAGGAACUUCCAGAAAUCAUAAUUGAUUAUUGUUAGCCCCAAAUUUAAUGAUUCAUGUUCCUUGCCUAUCCAAAUAUGUGCAUUGCACAUUUUUCAAAAGAAAUUUCCUGUAGUAUUAAUAUUCAAAUACAAAUUUGAAUAUUUAAAACCCCAUCUCGCAAAAUUCCUAGGGAGCUCAAAUCAACUCCAAAUUGAGUGAUUCCAAUUUCCAGAGACUUAUAAAAUCAUGCUCUAAUUUUCUAGCCUUAGUCAACAUUUUUCUCUGGCAUUAUGUCUGCUAGGCCAAAUAAAUAGCACAUAUUUCCACUUAUUCCAUGUUAGAAAAUCCAUAGGAAAUUCGUACCAACUCCAAAUCCAAUGAGACCACUUCCAAAAGUCUCUAAAAUCAUGCCCUAUCACAUGGAUGCAUCCACUCUAUGAGAAUAUUUUCUGUAGACUUCUUAUAGGAUCACCAAUUCCUCCUUUUCCGCCAUUCAAAUUCUUCGGUGACCAAAAUCUCUUAGAAUAAGAUUUAUGGAAUUUUCUUAUGUGAGAGAUGUCCAAGAAAAAUAAAACUCCUAUUUUUAGAGCACUUCUGUUUCUACUUGUUGUGUGGCUUGCGGUGGUUGUUUUUGACGGUAGUUGAAGAAGUAGACGAAGUACUCGGAGAUAGAUGAGAAGCAUGAGAAGACCUCGAAGACUUUUUUGAACCAGGCAAGCAGCCUUUUGACCAUGCCUAAGAAACUUUUAUUUGCAUGUCACAUAGCACCUUACUUAUGCAUAUAUUCAUGUUGGAUCGGAGACCCCCCUUGUUGGGUUGUCCCCGAAGAACACCUCGUUGAAACCUGUACUUGGGCAUGACCCUACCACCUAUGAGGGUUGUGCAUGUGGGAUGUAGUUAGUUGCUACGUAAAAAGGGAUGGGAAUAUGCACUGUGACGAUGAAGGGAGUGUUUACAUAGGCUUUUCAAAAACCCCGUCGGGUGCCACUAAUGCCCGAGGGGGGUGGUGUUGAGAUGGAUGACUACUUGAGAAAGAAGUGGUGUACCAAGAAAGAUUUCGUGUGUGUGAUUUCGGAAACGGUAUUAGAUUUAAGAUUUGUCGACCGUCCUGACCUUACAUGUGCGACCACGAUACUCCUUAUGGGACGGGGCUUUGUCGAUUACUCUGGUGGAUGCUAACACAGAGCCCGCAUUACUAGUGGCGGGAGUGACGUGGUCACUCUCGAUACUGGGUCGUGCCAGGUAGGGCGACCAUGAGAUGUUUUUACACGCACCGGGCACAUCGUUGGUCCCUGCAUGGAUGAUACGAUCUAGAGCAAGGCUCGUAUGAUGUACAUCAUGUGGAUUGUGUACCAAUCGAGUGGACUCUUUGUUUAAUGUCGCAGGGGAACGACAUUGUUCGGGUUCUUACCGCGGGUAUGUAAUAUACCACGAGUCGUGGAUGACACAGAAGUUCCCCGAGUCUGGUGGGUACAACGCGCAACCUCUCCAGAGUGUAAAACUAUUCGAAUAGUCGUGUCCACGGUCAAGGACAGUUGGGUAAUCCUGUUUAAACUACGUCCAGUUGUUUCCGCAUAAACCAUGUAUGUGGGAGGGUAUGAGAAAAAGUUUGUGAUAUGUGAAAAAUGAUGCUUGAGCUAAUAAGUCAGGUGACUUGACAUGAUGGGUGGACAUGGGAUGUUUGAUCCAAAGUUGAUAUUGAUAUAUGUAACAUGUUCAUUGGGUUACCGCUAUGCAUUGUGAUGCAUGUCCCCCAAAAAUUUGAUCAUGUUGUUGCACUAGGAAAAUCUACUUUCCGUAAAAACAACAUACUAGUAUAUUCAAAGUACUUAUUGGCUUGCCACUCGUUAUUUCAUUGACCAGAUAAGAGAGAACAGGAGAUGGUGAAGAGUACCUUGGUGACUUUCCUACGAGCUAGGACGCUUCCCAGUCAGAAUGCAUGUAGGGUUAAGGCAGAUGGCGUGGGUUCGCGCUAUCCUUGAGGAUUUUCGUUGCAAUGUAUAUGAAGACUUGGCCAUAAUGGCCAUAUCCGCGCUAAACGAUAUAUAUGGAUGUAAGACUCUCGUUAUUCCGUUUCUGUGUGUUUAAUGAGCCUUGAUCUCUGGGGUUACUGUACACGUGCAUUCGAUGAUCUCGACCUAUAUAUCGGGGUCCCUACAUUACUAGUCAAAGAAAAACACUCCAAUGUAUCGAGCCUGAAAUGGCAUGCACAUAUGUGCCUUCGCAUCGACACGUCACGACAUCUUCUUAGCUGACAGAUCAACAAGAACUGAACGGCUGAGAUCGCCGUGUUGACGGGACCAAGUUCAAAUUGGACGGCCCACUACUAUCGGAGUCGGAGAUGGUCUCCGAUUCCUCACGCAACACACACGGCCUGACGCAAUACUUCCUCUGUUCUUAAAUAUAAGAUGUAUUAGUUAAAAAAAAUAAAACCUUGUUUAUGUUCGACCAACUUUAUAGCAAAAUAUAUAAUGAUUUACAAUACGGAAUAUAUAAAAUAUAAAAAUAUAUUUCAUAAUGAAUCUAGCAAUAAUGAUUUGGUAUUCUAGACCUUGAUACUUUUCUCUACAAACUUGGUCAAAAUUAGACAAAUUUAACUUUUCGAAAAAAAUAGCAAACCAACAUGUGGUUGGAUGGUUAGGAGGACUCUGGUAUCCCCUGUCCACCAGAGUUCAAGUCCCAGACUUGGCGUUGGUGCUUGCAUUUUUCUGAAUUUAUUUCAGGUCUUUCGGCGAUGUGCUUUUAGUGGGAGGAGACGUUUCCAUCGACAACGAAGGCGUCGACGACUUCAUCAAUCUCAAAAUGAUAUGCCGGCUUAGUCUUUCAAAUGUGCUCAUAGGGAUAGGGUGUGCGUGCGUUCAUAGGAGUGAGUGUAUGUGAGCGACUUUGAUUGUACUCUGCUUAAAAUAUAAAAAUGAACUUUUUGAAAAAAUAAUACACUUUGUAUCUAGGAACAUAGGGUAGGACGGCCUCGUCUUCACGUGCCAAAACAAACCAGUCGAUCGGCAUGGCUCGUGUGUCGAUGUGGACGUUCGUUGUUCUCGUCGCGCGGGCAUUGCUUCUCGCGAUGCCGGCUGGUUCCGCUGUUGCGCCCACGAAAGGCGACGCCCGCGGCGGCAACACGGACCCCGUGAUCAGCAUUGACCUCGGCACGACCUACUCGCGCGUCGGCGUCUACCAAAACGGCCGCGUCGAGAUCAUCACCAAUGACUAGGGCAACCGGAUUACCCCUUCCUAGGUAGCCUUCGCCGACAGCGGCGAGCGGCUCAUCGGCGAGGUCGCCAAGAACCAGGCGGCUGCCAACCCUGAGCGCACCAUCUACGACGCCAAGCGCCUCAUCGGCCGGGAGUUCGCCGACGACGUCGUGCAGCGGGACGUCAAGCUGCUGCCCUACCCCGUCGCCGACCGCAAGGGCAAGCCGCACAUCCAGGUGCAGGUGGAGGACGGCGACGUGCGCGUGUUCAGCCCCGAGGAGAUCAGCGGCAUGGUGCUCUCCAAGUUGAAGGAGACCGCCGAAGCCUACCUCGGCGAGAAGGUCACGCGCGCCGUACGUGGUCACCGUGCCGGCCUACUUGAACGACGCGCAGCACCAGGCCACCAAGGAUGCCGGCGUUCGCCAGGCUUGACGUCAGGUGCCGGUGACCUUUUCUGGAAGACGAUGGUGCCGGUGAAGAAGGCCGUGGCAGGCGCCAGGCUGACAAGGUCGUGCUUGUCGGUGGCAGAACCAGGAUCCCCAAGGUGCAGCAGCUCCUCAAGGACUACUUCAACGGCAAGAGGCUGUCGCCUAUGGUGCCGUCGUGCAGGCCAGUACCUGGUUAGUGUGUUGCAAACUCGCCGCCAUUCUUCUCUCUCGCAAGGCGGGUGAUUGUCGGCGCUGGCGCGGAAGCAUCGGGUGCCGUGCGUCUCUCGUUCACGCUGUGGGGAUCUAGAUGUCACUGCCUCACCUUCGUCUUACUUGGGUCUGCAAUAUACGAGUUGUUGCGGUGGUAAAAUUGUAACAAUGGGCCAGUUGCAAAACUAGCGAUGGUGGCUCAUGGGACACAGGAAGGUGGCAGAAGCGGGAGCUGCGAUCUGUCGAGUGAUUACAAGCAUUUCCUUUUUCUAUCAUUGAGCAUGUCACUUCGUACAGCUCUGGGCCUUAAACUCGAAUCAGCAGAGGCACACAGACUGCCUUUCCUUUCCAUGGCCUCGGGACUCCGCCCAGAAAAUGGAAAUCAGGUGGAUUCUUUUUUUCCUGUGAAACUGAGGCUUCUGGAGCCUUUUCUCUAGAAUCUCUCACUGCCAAUCGUGCAAAGCAAACACACUUUUGUGAAACUUUCCUCCGACUCUGGAUUCCUAUAGUUUUCCUGCAAAAUUCCUACGUACCGAACAAAUGUAUGUACUUCCCAUUUUUAGUGUACACACUUCUCAUUGUUGUGUGACUACUUCUCAGUCACACGUAACAUGCACACACUGUCGUAUGGCCAACCCCAUAUAGCUAAUGCUAGCAAAUAACUUGCAUUCAGCUCAACUUUUAUCUCUCAGUCUUUCUGCGCACGAAGAGGAGUUGGGCACCAAAAACUACAGUUUCUCCUAGGUAUAUCUUCGAAGAAGAGCCAGUCCAAGAAGUGGUGUCCUUAGGUAAUUAGCCAAGAAGGAUUCCUCAAGUUCAAGCUUGGCGACAGUCUUUAAUACUCCAUCCGUUCAAAAUAAGUGACCCAAGUUCAAGCUUCACGAUAGUCUUUAAUACUCCAUCUGUCCAAAAUAAGUGACACAACGGAGUAUUGAGCAUCAAUGUCAAAUUUAAUGUUUGGAUGUUAUGUAUUUGAAAGUUGGAAUCCAAUCGAAGCCACCAAUAUCAAUUCCUGUUUGGAUGGCAAAAGUGUUCAAUUGCAAAUGUCAACCCCUUUUCAUCUUCCUCCUGAUUCCACAUCAGCCGAUGGGGCUCUUCUCGUGGUGGAGGGUCUUCCGCCUUGGCUCACCGGAGCGGGCCCUGAACUAGGAGCCGGCGAAGGACACGAGGGCGUGACCUAGGUGGUAGCCGCGCCAUGGCUCGCCGGAGCAUUCCUGAAGGAGCACCCAACGAAGGAAGCGGGGGAGGCGGGAAGAACCAGGUGGUCGCCGUUGCACGCGAGAGAGCAGCGGAUGUUGCUGUUGUGCAUGAGGCGCUCAGCCAUGGCGCGGGGUUGUGGAUGGAGUCAUGGAAUGGGGGGAGUCGCUGUAGCGGGGGUUGCAAGGAUGGAGUCGUAGGCAGAAGUGCUAGCGAAUACCAGCGAAAACCCAGGUCGAGGGCUCCGAAUUGGUCGAGGGGAAGUGUACACCAGAAAAGAGCGAUUCGAUAUUGAGCGUCGACUCCACGAGAGAAUGUUGUGCGCAACCAAAUGACGAUAUUCGGGCUGCCGAAUGCCAAUAUCUAAAACUAGCCCCCAAUAUCAACAUCCGAACGGGCGUGGAGGAUUGAUUCGUACUUGCGACCUUGAGCUGCUGAACACCUGCCGCUGGUUACUAAAAGCAUCACGUGUUAUGGCUUUAAUGUGAGGCUCGGGCAAUUCAACUACACAACGCAGCUUUGAUAUUCUAAGAUAUUUAUUAAUGUCACACAAAUAUUAAAAUCGUGCAGGCCCAAACAAUUUUUAUAAACUCGUAAUUUUUAUAAAGUGUGGCCACUUUUUGGAAAUAAUAAUAUGUUUUUAACACAAACAUUUUUUCUGAAAACACAAUCAAUGUUGGAAAAGAAAACACUAUUUUUUCAAAAAUGGGAACAAUUAUUGAAACCUGAAAAAAUAAAUUAAGCAGUGUAAAAAUAUUUGGUAUUUGGUAAAAUUUUUGCGUUUAACAAUAUAUAUUUGGUAUUUCAAUUUUUUUCCAAUUUUUUUCAAGAAAUGUUUUGUCAGUUUUAAAAAAUGUUUUCAUAUAUGAAUGCUCCUUUUGUUCUUAUAUACCACGUGAGAUAUAAUCACUAGCAGCCUAUAGGACGAUUCGGAAGGUGCGGGCACUAUGGGAAGUGAGGUGCCGAGUUCGAGCACUUUCAAGCUCAUUGUUGCUUCAACUGUUUUUGUUGCUCUUCCUAAUAGAAGACAAGUGGGUUCAUGCAGCUUUUAAAAAUGUUUACUGUCACUAUGAAAACAUAAGAUAAUAUCAUUACCAAAAUGUAAAACAAACAAAAUAAAAAGUGAAAAUAAAAACAGCGCUAGCGACUGACUUAAAAUGGACCGGCCUGAUUCAUCCUAAUGUCAGCCAAUGACAGUCUACAAUCCUUGCCAUAAUUUCCGGGAUUACAAGUUUGAAGUUUAGUUUAGUUUUCUUCUAUAAUUUAAGGGAAAUGAUUUUCCUCAGCCGGCUGAUCAUUACCUUGCAUCCAUGACCUUCCGUGCUAGGCACGUGUCCCACAGGGUUUACAUGCAUUGGAUCGGUUGAGCACUCCGCUGCGGUAAGUUUUUGCAACAAGACAUUUGUUGUAAAAAAGAAAAAACUGCAACCAGGCUUGUGUUAAGAAAAACUUAAAAAUUUCUGCAACAUGACAUUUAUUGUAAAAAAUGCAACAUGACCUCACUCACAAACAUUUUUGCAACAAGAUAUCUGUUGAAAAAAACUGCAAGAAGAGUUGUUUUGAAAUAAUGAAGCGCUACUUGGCCAUUCGAGGCGCCAAAUUGGUCAACUCGCGACACGGCCGAUCUUUUAAAAGGAUCGGCCGAUGGACACGCAACACACCCAUUUUCUUUCUCGACCCAACCAUGGUGUCCAACAGGUCUUUCUGUAACACGAUCUUUGCUAAAGAAAAUCCUCUACAACAAACUCCAUUGCAAACAAAAAUAUACUAGUGUUUUCAUAACAUGAUCUGUGUUGUAGAAAAUAUUAUAUAACAAACUUUCUUACAGAAAAAAUUAUACAACUGUUUUCGCAACACGGUCUUUGUUGCAGAACAUAAUCUAUAACAAACUUUAUUGCAAAAUAAUUACAGAUGUUUGUGCAACACAAUGUGCGUUGUAAAAAAUAUUCUAUAACAAAUCCGAUUGCAGAAAAAAUUAUAAAAGUAUUUCCGCAACACAAUCUUUAUUACAGAAAAUAUUCUAUAACAAACUCUGUUGCAAAACAUUAUACAGGUGUUUCCAAAACAUGAUCUUUUGUUGCAAAAAAUAUUCUAUAACAAUCUCUGUUGCAAAGAAAGUCUACAAAAUAUUUCCGCAACAAGAUCUUUGUUACAGAAAAUUCUGCAACAUAAUCUAUGUUGUAUAAGUUAAUAUGCCCGUCAGCUAUUUGAUGACUACACCUCUAGUCGAAAGCGACCCGGCCGAUCUUUUAAAAAGAUCGAUCGGCGGAUGCAUAGGUUUGUUUUGGACUUUUUCCGAAAUGCUGGUCCGAAGAUCAAUUCGGCAGCCUUGGUCUGGCAUCUGGUUGGACCAAUCGGCAUCGGCGCAUCUGGUUGCCGACUUGUAUAUUUGCCGACUUGUAGUGAUGCAAACGUACGACUGUUUGGAUUUAUUCAAACGUGUGUUUUGAAUCCUGUAGGGAUACAGCUAUUUCCCGUGAAGUUUCUGAAAACCAUGUAGCAAACGGACAGUAUUGCUUGCAUUGCAUGCAGAGCCCGCCGGACUGACAAGUUGAAAUGGUGUCGGCGCCACCGCACUACUGGCGCCUGGCGCUCCCACGUCGCCAUUCGUCGUCCUGGAAACAUCUCAUCCAAUUUGUUCCACCAACCGCGUCGCCAUCGGUCCGCCGUGACGGGCCAGUGCUGUCUGCCGUGCCACGACCGCCACCUACUCCGACCCACACAAACGUCCCCAGGUUUUAAAGCGCGAGCGAGCCCUCUCCGUCCUUCCCUCCCACCGCCGGCNNNNNNNNNNNNNNNNNNNNNNNNNNNNNNNNNNNNNNNNNNNNNNNNNNNNNNNNNNNNNNNNNNNNNNNNNNNNNNNNNNNNNNNNNNNNNNNNNNNNNNNNNNNNNNNNNNNNNNNNNNNNNNNNNNNNNNNNNNNNNNNNNNNCCCUCCCACCGCCGGCCGCCGCGACAGCGCGGGCUCCCCUCCCGGCCGGCCGCAUGGAGCCGCCGGCGCCUCCGCCCCCGCCCCCGCCGCAGCUGCACCUGCGCGUCCUGGACACCGUCAGGCUCUCCCCGGCGCGGCGGCCUCCGGCGUCGUCCCUGCCGCUCUCCGGCCUCGACGCCGACCGCAACGUGCUCGACGUCUCCUUCCGCACCGUCCGCUUCUUCCCUGCCCACCCGGUCUCCCUCGACCCGCUCGACGCCCUCCAGGCCGCGUUCGCCCACGCGCUCGGCCUCUUCCCGCAGCUCGCCGGCUCCGUCGUCCGGGAAGNNNNN